rnacentral:lncRNA from 1 species
AUUAUUUGAAAUUUUUCAAUUUCUGGAAAAUUCGAAAAUGAUUACAAAUAAAAUGUCUGAUAUUUACAAAUGUUGAGGUAUGGAAUAAGAGUCUUAGACUCAGUAUUUACCCGAUAAAGCUGUCGGUACGCCGACAAAUGUCAGACCCUAUAAUAGAAAGAAAAGGCUUCUGUAAGAGCAUGGAUGAGAUAUUUGAAAAAUGUAUAAAAGUAUAGGAUAUGAACUAAAAGUAUGAUCACUGCGAUUAUGUGAUGACGUGAUUAGACUAUGUGCUGACCGUAAUAGACAGUACUAUGUGAUAUGAUAUAN